rnacentral:misc_RNA from 1 species
UGCAAGUGUUCAUAAAAUCUUCCCUGUAAAAUCCCCACCAAAUCAAUUCUACCAUUCUCAAGAAAAGAAGGAAAACAUCUCACCUGGCUCAAAUUUAUCAUGAGCCUCAAAAUUAUUUGAUAGUGCUUGGUUGCUGACACAUUAAAUUUCAAGCUGUUUCUUUAUUUUGCAUCACUUGCCAUUCAUAUAAAUUUUAACUUUUUAUGCUAAUUCAAAAGAGACAAUAAUAAAG